UCGCUUCUUUCACUUUUCAGAGGCUUUUUAAAUAUGAAAGAAGCAAUCUGAUUGGUUGUCAUGGGCAACUUAGCAACUUUUCCUCUUCACAGGUUUUGAUAAAUCUUCCCCGGUGUUUUUGUCAAAAAUGCCACAAAGAUGGCAUCUUUGGGAGAAAAAAAAAAAGGAGGGAGCUGUUUUUUUGUGGUGUUUUUUUAUUUUUGGCCAAAAAAGCCUCAUUGUGUCUGUUCCUAGGCUUGGGCUGGGAUUAAACACAACUUAUGUGUGACGCUUUUCAAAGCCCACAUUGCUUUACCCUUGGCAUCCCCCCCCCCCCCUCGUUCUGACAGAUGUCUGUCCAGCUGUUGCAAAUCAACAACUACCAGCAUGCCCUGCCCAUUUGCAACAACUGGACAGCCACAGGGGAUCACUGAUGUUCUAUGUCAAACUCAGCCUAUGCUGCCUGAUCUUGAACUAGCAACGUCAGGGGCGUCACUCGUCAGACUUCCCGGCAGCCAGCGAUGCUCAUUGAGCCUCCCGGAGCAGCACUGAUGAGGAGGUAACAGCGUGUCAUACAUGUGAUGUCAUAACCAUUGUCCACCAGAGAGCAGCACUGAGCAGAAAUAACACGGCUCCUGCUCAUUGUUCAUCAGUGAGGGGCCAAUGCUGGACACUGUUGGGACCUGAGAAUGCAGAUUCAUACACAUGACUGUGACUGAUGCACUAUUUUCAGGAUGUGGAGUCGCAUUACCGGACUUACAGCAAGAAGUUGCAUGAAGGCACUGCCCCUCGAAUCACGCACAUACACAGACACUUUGCCCAAAUUCUAGAGGUAACCUCCUUUAGUAUGCCCAGAGGAAAGGCAAUACAGUAGCCAUGGAUUCCCUACAGGU